UCAUUUUCUCACCAAUCCUUGCACAAAAAUUCAAACUCCGUCCCAACGACCCACACACCGAUUAUUACCUUACGCGCCACGAUCCGUCCGCGAGAUAACCUUCUCUAAACGAUGGAGCCGCCGCCGCCUAAGGCAGAUAUCGAAGUGAAGAUUGCGCAGAAUCCAAACCCGUCGCCGAUCGUCGAUCCGAAAGCUACGGAUCAAGGACCGAAGAAGGGUGGCGACAAUGCGAGCAUCGAGAUUGAAAUCGAGACGAAAGGGAGCGAGUCAUGGGAGGAAGCGACGUCGGUGAAGAAACGGUGGUGGUUGGUGCCGGGGCUGGAGCUUGAGAGAAACAUGAAGUGGCCAAGAAACCAAGAAAGAUCACAACUUGCAAAGCCUUAGGACUCAUCUUUAGAUUGAUUCUGUUUGAAAGUUGCAACUCUCUGUUUAAUGUUUUAAGCUCUUGUUUCUUUGUUUGAUGGCAUGUGGAAUUAUGAGAGAAGAGAGGUUCUAUAUAUACUCGAUGGUUGGGAUUAAUUAAUUAAUUAUCGUUGUGACUUGUGACACUAAUCAUGCAAGCUACAUACGUUAAUACAGCAUGGCUUAGCUUGACAAUGGCGGUUUGAAAAUAAUUGUAUGUGUUUUUUUCUUCUUUAUUUAUUUCUGUUUUUUUGUCAUUUUUUUUUUCAUUUGACUUGGCGUGUUUGGGAUUCUGAAGUUUCCUUGAAGGAUCAUCUACAUGGAGGCACCAAACUGAUGCACUGAGCUCUGCCAUGUGUUUAAAUUGGUUGUUUGGUCUCUUUGACUGUGUCUAAAUUUGCUGUUUUUGCUUAACCGCGUUUAUGGACUUGAACAGUGGCACAGUGCCGUGCCAGCCUUUCUAGGAGGCUUGAGACAUGUUUUAAAAUCUGAUUUUGUAUUUUUUUAAACGAUAUAAAAUAAUGAAAACGAGUAGUAAUAAUAAAGAACAUAUAAAACAAUCAUGAUAACGUCUUAGGAAUUCUUGUUUUUCUUUCUUUUUUUUAUUUUGCUUCUAAGUCAUAUCUACUCAUGAAGGCAUUUUCUGAUUAUUUUUAUUAGAUUCAAAAUAUAUAAUCAAUUGUAUAACAGAAACUAAAACAAACAGCGGUUUCCAUAUGUAUUAUAAACAAAAAAAAAAAUCUACUGUGUUAGCCAUCAAUAUUCACAAAACUAAACAUGAAAAAAAACUAAUUAUAAAGUGUGAGUACAGUUGCCAAAUAAAAGUGUAAAUACAAAAGAUUUUUUUUUAUCGUAAAAGGAGUACAAUUUUUUUUGUGGAAACAAAGUUUGUGAUAACAAAAAUCAUUAAAAUUCUUCUAAAUUAAAUACAUAUAAAUAAAGAGAGAAAAGUUUAUUUUAUUUGUUAAUGAUUGGAUUUGAACUUAUGUGGAAGACAUAAAUAAAUUUAUACUAUUAAAAUCAUUGGACUAAGCGCAAUUUUGAAGAUUUGGGGCUAAUUUUAACACACGGGGUAAUUGUUUUGAUUCAGAUUCAUAAUUAGUAUUUCUUGUCUCAUGGAUUUGAUCAAAAAAAAAAGGAUUUAACCUUUUCUUGCAAGUAUUAUAUAAUUGUUUAUGUUGAAAAGUUGUGUACAUCUCGACUGUAUAUACGCGGGCAGGGGCUGGACGAAGCUGUCAUUAUGUUAAAGUUAAUUUAAUUAAUAUUUAGGAGAGGUAAUAUAUAUUAGUAUGCAUAUAUGGUAAUUCAUUCUUCUAGAGUAUUUUUAUUAUUCUUCCCAAUAUUUUAGUGACGGAUUAUUUGGUUCCCAUUAUUGUGACAACCUACAAGUUUACAAACUUAACGCGCAUUCCCGUUUUCUAGUGGUGCUAGUAUUCUAUUUGUUUUAUUUUAAUUAUCGUUUUAGAUUUAUACCACAAAUAGAAAAAUAUUUAGUUUUAUAUAUUUAUUAAAUAAAAAAUAUCAUUAUCAAUAUAUUUAAUCAUAUUUCAAUCAAUAAAAAAUAGAUUAAAAUAUAAAAAUUAAUAAAUUUUAUAUUAAAAUUAUAAAGCAAUAUGUAUUUUUAAAUAAAAAAUUUACUUUGCAACGACAGUUGAAUUGAAAUUACUAGUACUUAAUUAGAAAUUGGAAUCUACCUAACAAAGUAUUUCACUUAAAUUAGAAAAUUGUUUGACCUUAUAUGCAUUGUAUCUUCGUAAGAAAUGUAUAAUUUGAAUCUUUAUUUCCUGACAACCUUAUCAUACUUUCUAAUUAACCAAAGUAUUAUUACAAUUAAUUUAAUUCAUAGAACUAGUUUGAACAAGGCCUUGGUAGGCCAAGGCCUCUCUUUGUAGCUUUUGGUGGACGGUGGCCUAAGCUAACAUUUUUUGUUUUUUGUCAAGCCCAAAAUGUUUUUUUAUCUCUUUAACCUGCACACAACUUGUUUAAGAUUUUAGAGGGAAAUUGACUAAAAAAAUGCAGUUGAAUAAACAACGUAUGAAACCAAUGGAUGGCCGACAACGCCUGAUAUAUGCGGAUAAUAAAUUAAAAAGGUACAUUUAGAGGGAAAACCGAUCUGCCUCAAGAUGUCUACAUGCACUAAUCUCACUCACUGGUUCAACUCUAGAGUACAUGAAGUAUAAUUCUUAAACGUGUUAAGGUCCCGUUUAUUGCUUAAAUUUUUGGUUGCUACAUUAAUAUUUUGGACUGUUAAAUACCCUGACUUGAUAUAGCACCAUACUUUUUAAAAAAAAAUAUACAUUUGUUCCAAACCUAGAACUAAACUUAAUACUAGUCAUAACUCAUAACUUAGCAUUUUUACCAAAAUGUAAAGCAUUUGGAUUCAGAAAUGAACAUGGCGCGCCUUACUACUAGUCAUGGACUCAUGAUUAAAGUUAUAGAUAUUUCUAAUUAUCUAUCAGAAAGUGCACUGCUUACAGAGCUAACAAACACAUGAAUGGUUGAAGAAGGUUUUUUGUUUUGAUACUUAAGCCAUUUUUUUCUUACUUAACAAUCUCCAGACAAUCUCUUUCAAACAUUUAAAUUCCUUUUUUUCUUGUGGUUGACAGUAUUGCAUUACAUUUUAGUUAUGUUACGAAAUGAUCAAUGUACCAUCGUAAUUAUGGUCACAUGUAACGUAGAGAGGAAGAAAAAAAACGUAGAGAGACAUGACAAUCUACCACCGGUUAAACCCGGUCCAAAAAUCUCGCAUCGCCGCUUAAAAAUGCCAAUCACUUGUUACGGUUCGUCACCUGUCUUCCCGGUAAUCCCGUCCUCUCUAUUUAACAUUCCAAAAGCUCUCCCAAAUUAAAUAUAAAUAAUUAAUUUAUUCAUUUUCUCACCAAUCCUUGCACAAAAAUUCAAACUCCGUCCCAACGACCCACACACCGAUUAUUACCUUACGCGCCACGAUCCGUCCGCGAGAUAACCUUCUCUAAACGAUGGAGCCGCCGCCGCCUAAGGCAGAUAUCGAAGUGAAGAUUGCGCAGAAUCCAAACCCGUCGCCGAUCGUCGAUCCGAAAGCUACGGAUC
rnacentral:lncRNA from 1 species